GUGCGUGGUAAUGUUAUUGCAACUUUAAUAAUUAUUUUCAGUGCAAAAAAAAGCCUGAUCAAUGUUCAAAAUAGGUGAUCAUUGCUCAGCGCUUUAUUUCCUAUCGAAUACAGUCAUUUGUUUUAAAGAUUUCGAUCAAUGAGGUGCCAACAUCUUUUUUUCGUCCUUGAAUUUUCAACCCUUAAUAAAAAAUAAACUACAGGUGAUCAAAAUCUGAAACCUAGUGAUCAUUGCUGUACAAACCGUGAGCAAAAGGAUGGUAUAAUUAUUUUUACGAAAUUCGAUCAAUGAGGUGCUAACAUCUCAUAACCGUAUGACGUAGAUAUAUUAAUAUUAUGUGACACUUGACAGAAGCUCGAAACAAAUGACUAUCGAUGAAAAGCCCUAUUGGGUCAGACCAGUGAUAUGGGAGGGAGUGGAUCAAGGUUCAUAGAUAGGGGUUAGGUUAUCUCAUAACUAUGUGGGCGGAAGCGAGAGGGAGGGGAAUGCCUACGUCACUCGUACGACAAAGUCAAGUUUGACAGUUGUUUGUGGUUAUAUUUCCGUAUAUUUUUGUGGAAUUUUCUUAUAAUAUCGUUUAUUUGUUUAAUAUUUGUUGAGUUUUUAAGCAUAUAAGGACAAUAUUACUAUAAUUACUUAUUUGGGUCCUAUACAAAGGCAGUAAUGACUUGUGAAGUGUGUUUUCGUAACCGUGUAAAAUGAGUGGUGGUAACAUUUGUAGCAUAGCUAUAUGUAAAAGCAACUCCAAAAUUCCUGAACCAGAUGGAAACAAAAUAAUGUUUUUGGACAUUUCCCAAAUACCUUUAAAUAAUGUUAACAUUAUCAAACAAUAAUGGAUAAUAAAAUGUUACAAAAUAAAUGGGCCUCUAAACAUAAGAAAAUAGGUAGCAAACAUUUCCUCGUGUCUGAAUAUGUUAAUAUUAUGUUACGUCUUUUUUAUAUUUUAACCUAAUAAUAAAUUAUUUAUAUUA